AUUGAACGCUGGCGGCAGGCUUAACACAUGCAAGUCGAGCGGAGAUGAGGUGCUUGCAUCUUAUCUUAGCGGCGGACGGGUGAGUAAUGCUUAGGAAUCUGCCUAUUAGUGGGGGACAACAUUCCGAAAGGAAUGCUAAUACCGCAUACGUCCUACGGGAGAAAGCAGGGGAUCUUCGGACCUUGCGCUAAUAGAUGAGCCUAAGUCGGAUUAGCUAGUUGGUGGGGUAAAGGCCUACCAAGGCGACGAUCUGUAGCGGGUCUGAGAGGAUGAUCCGCCACACUGGGACUGAGACACGGCCCAGACUCCUACGGGAGGCAGCAGUGGGGAAUAUUGGACAAUGGGGGGAACCCUGAUCCAGUCAUGCCGCGUGUGUGAAGAAGGCCUUAUGGUUGUAAAGCACUUUAAGCGAGGAGGAGGCUACUGAGACUAAUACUCUUGGAUAGUGGACGUUACUCGCAGAAUAAGCACCGGCUAACUCUGUGCCAGCAGCCGCCGCAG
rnacentral:rRNA from 1 species